CUUGACUAGUCAUUCUCAUUAUCCAGGGAGAUUAGUUUGCACUCCCAGGCUAUGGACUAAUAAUAAUGUCUUCCAUUUGGAGAAGGCUUUAAAUAUUCAGGCUAUGCAACCACACCCUUCUGAAUUUCUGUAACAAGCUGCCCAUGUGCCAGUCUGUAACUGCAGCAGUGUGCAGUAAGCUGUAGCAGUGUUCUUCAAAUUUGUCUGCUUAUAAGACUCACCUUGUACAUGUAUUAAAAACAUGCAUUUCCCAAUGCUCAUCCGGACGUACUGAAUAAAAAUCUGCCAGGGUAGUUAAAUAGACUCAGGUUCUAUUCCCAGAUCUGCCACUAAUCAUGACCUGGGAUGCUGACACUUGGAACCCAGCUACCACGCUGUGAGGAAGCCCUAGCAGCCUGAGGACGUGAAGAGACACCAUCCUGCAGUCUUGGCUGAGCACCAAUUUGCCAGCUAUGAGAGUGGGCCAUCUUCACAGUGGAUCAUCUGACCCCCAGUCAAGCUGCUCCAGCUUAUGCUGCAUGUAGACUGGACUAGCAGUCUUCACAUAGUCCUUCCCAAAUUGCAGUGUCGUGAGCAAAAUAAAUAAUUGUUGUCUUAGCCUGAAGAUCUGCGAUGGUUUGCUACUCAGCAAUACAAAACUGAUG
rnacentral:lncRNA from 1 species